CCCCUAGAUGUUCUGGGCCGCACGCGCGCUACACUGAACAGUUCAACAAGUCUUAACCUUGGCCGAUAGGUCUGGGUAAUCUUUGAACGCUGUUCGUGAUUGGGAUAGACCUUUGCAAUUAUGGGUCUUCAACGAGGAAUUCCUAGUAAACGCAAGUCAUCAGCUUGCAUUGAUUACGUCCCUGCCCUUUGUACACACCGCCCGUCGCACCUACCGAUUGAAUGGUCCGAUGAAAUCCUCGGACCGUGGAGCGAUCUGUGCUCGUCACCGAACGCAUCCGCGGGAAGUUGAUUAAGUCAUACCAUUUAGAGGAAGGUGAAGUCGUAACA
rnacentral:rRNA from 1 species